rnacentral:rRNA from 1 species
UACGAAGGGGGGCUAGCGUUGCUCGGAAUCACUGGGCGUAAAGCGCACGUAGGCGGAUUGUUAAGUCGGGGGUGAAAUCCUGGAGCUCAACUCCAGAACUGCCUUCGAUACUGGCGAUCUUGAGUCCGGGAGAGGUGAGUGGAACUCCGAGUGUAGAGGUGAAAUUCGUAGAUAUUCGGAAGAACACCAGUGGCGAAGGCGGCUCACUGGCCCGGUACUGACGCUGAGGAGCGAAAGCGUGGGGAGCAAACAGG